UGUUUUACUGCUUAGGGCGAGGACCCACCCGGAUGUCCGGGCGUAGCCCCAGAUGAUCCGGAUAGGUUCGGAUGACCGGAAAGGAGCCCGGAUGUCCAGGUAUAUGGGUACAGGGAGUGGAACUACCCGGACGUCCGGAUGAACAUCCGAAUGAUCCGGCCAGCCAGAGUGCUGGCUGAUAUUUUGAACUGGUGAUGAUGUGAUGAUGUUUAUUUGGAUCACAGCAGCCUAUAUAGGGGCGACGGAGGUUCUGCCGAGAUAAAACCUGAAGCGAGCAGCCGAUAAAAAAAAGGAAAACCGAUCCCGGCCCCGACUCUCUUCCCCAACCUCCCCACUCCCUGCGUCUCCAUCCCGCAACCGCGGCCGCGCCCACUCCCCCGACCUCCCCGCCGCCGCGCGCCAUCCCCCGGCCCCGCCCCGUCUCCCCUGCCUUCUUCCCCGACACCAUCCCGGACCUUCGUCCGAAGCAUCCGCCGCGUCCAGAUCCACCCGCCGGCGACGCCCACCGCCGGCACCCCGCUACCCACUACCUUCCCGGCGGCUCCGCCUGCGUACCACCGCCGGCGCGCCCCUGUGCCCAGUCGCAGUUGCUGCCUCGCCACCCGCACCCACCUCCAGGCACCCAUGGCCGCCAUCGCCAGGACCUUCCCUCCCCAACGAGGCUACACCUAGCCAGAUACCUGCUGCUCUCCAACGCCUGGACCAACACAGUCAACCGUGCGCCGGCAACGCGCAACCGGUCACCAUGGAACCCGCGUGCAGGCAUUCGUCCAUGGUUGAUAGCCUCAACCAUGGCGGUCCAUCCCCACACGCCGCCGCUGGCCGUCGUCGUCCCUGACCACCAGACAAGCACCGCCGCCCCUGCAUCUCCGGCCACAUCGACCUUCUCAGGAGGGCUACCUUGACCUUCCCGGGGAAGGUUCAUCCAUGGAGUGGCCGCUGCCGCCACUCCACUACCGCGCUGUGCCUGGCUUGCCGCAAGCCUCCGCCCUCCAUCACCAGUGCGCUGCCACCGCAUGGAGCUUACAGCGCCAAGAUUCCCUUGUGCGCCAUCAGCUACCACCUAGGCUGCGUGGCUACUUCCCACCCCGUUGUGCUUCAGAUUCUGUAGAGCUUCAGGUUCAGAGCUUUUCCCUUCUGAAAUUCAGUGAAGGGAAGGACUACCUGAGCGCUACCAGCAGUACAAGGAGUUUAGAAGGCAAGAGAUGGGUCAAUAGAUGAUCCCUACUUUGCAGCAGUGUGCUGUACAUGUGGAGGAAAGGUCAAGCAAAAAGUGUAGUUUGAUAAUUACGUCGUAACUUAUUAAGCUCGCUUGCUCUCUGGCUCUUAUUACUUUGUGUUUGUGCCUCAAACAAAAGAAAAGAAAAAAGUAAAAAAUAUUUGAAGAUUUUA